rnacentral:rRNA from 1 species
UACGGGGGGGGCAAGCGUUGUUCGGAAUUACUGGGCGUAAAGGGCUCGUAGGCGGCCAACUAAGUCCGACGUGAAAUCCCAAGGCUUAACCUUGGAACUGCGUCGGAUACUGGAUGGCUUGAAUUCGGGAGAGGGAUGCAGAAUUCCAGGUGUAGCGGUGAAAUGCGUAGAUAUCUGGAGGAACACCGGUGGCGAAGGCGGCAUCCUGGACCAACACUGACACUGAGGAGCGAAAGCCAGGGGAGCAAACGGG